UACAGAGGUCUCAAGCGUUGUUCGGAUUCAUUGGGCGUAAAGGGUGCGUAGGCGGCGCGGUAAGUCGGGUGUGAAAUCUUGGAGCUUAACUCCGAAACUGCAUUCGAUACUGCCGUGCUUGAGGACUGGAGAGGAGACUGGAAUUUACGGUGUAGCGGUGAAAAUGCGUAGAUAUCGUAAGGAAGACCAGUGGCGAAGGCGGGUCUCUGGACAGUU
rnacentral:rRNA from 1 species